UUUUGCUGAAGUGGGCGGGUUUUGGAACGUGAGUGGGCGGAAAUCGCUCAACCUAAUCUGGCAACAAUGGUGGCAGACUCUGAAGGAAGUCUGCACCAUCUUGGCACCCUUUGAGGAGGUCACAAAGGAGAUGAGUGCUGAGAGGUUUGUAACAGCUUCAAAGCCCAUCUUGAUACAGCGAGGCCACGGGGUAAGGUGAGCCACCCCCUUUUUCUCGAAAAAGGUGAAGCCAACGCAAGCGUCCUCUUCAACAUUGACAACAGAAAGCCCAGACACAGACUGCACUCCAGCCCAAGUCCAAGUGGCGGCUUGUUUUUAAAAAAAAAUAAACACAUGCAUUACACAUAUGCUUUUCUUCUUUUGCAUAACUAGGCUAACUAAGGGUA